AAGUAAUGGAAGGAGUUUCCACUUCCAUACUGGCCAUUAUGAUUCAGGACUUAACGAGACGUAUGGAAUGGCGAGGUCUGCUUUGUCGCCCACUUUUAUGUCACCAGAAGUACAUCUCGAACCUUGGACUUGAGAUCAAAGAAUCCACCAGCUGUGAUGUGUCCGAUACUGCCCUGGAGGACUACCCAUCUGAUGCAACUGGUAGAGUCAGAUCACAGAUGCUGCCUACCUGACCAGCAGAAUCUCUACUGAGAAAAAAGUGCCCUGUGGCAGGGACAGCUUCAUGAAUCCGCCUCUUGUAGACCUCUCGCCCCAGAGCCGAAGCCCUAGUCCAUGGCAGCGUCGGCCCAUUGCAGUUCACUUUCCCCAGGACAGAAGGAGACGAGGCGCAGGAGCUACACCCAGAUUUCCUGUGAUCUGCAGCACUAGUCCUAAGCUGAAGGACACUGUGAUCCAUAGUGGAGGGAUGAAUCUUACCGAAGGGGGCCAUCGUGGCGGCUCGGCGGAUGAACGCUAACGGAAUUCAUGCCAGGCUAUACUGGUGCCCUUUCCAUGCUGGCAGAGCAGAGACAGGGGACAGCAUUUCCAAUACCUCCCCAGGGAGUGGGCGUGGUCUUAUUACCAUGAAUAAUACCACCUCACAGACAGGAUGUAUGGUACUGUAAUCAGAAAUUGGAUGGCUGAGUCCAGUCAGGGACAUGGAGAGUGACUGGAGUGCGGGCUGCUCCAGGGACUGGCUGGGCCUGUGCUGCAGUCUCCAGUUUUAAGGCUAGCACUGAAGCUUUUGCUCAAGGAUUGUGCCAAUACUAAGUGAGAACUACGCUUAGUAAAGUUUUUUUUUUGCCCUCUUAUAGAAAACAGAGAUCUUUUAAAGUCCACAGGAUUACCCACAACGCUACACGUGCAGCUACAGAUUUAUUUAUUUAUUUAUUUAAUUGCAUUUUUAUUGUAUUGUUAUAUUGUGAAAUUGUUAGUUUUGUUCCAUCAUUUUAAUUGAUGCUACUGCUAUUUAGUGUAGGGUGUGGUGUCCCUGUUUUGUGGUUUGAAGUAUUUUAUUCUUGUGGUGUUGUAAAUGUGAUACAAACAUUAUAUUACAUUAUAUAAUAUUUAUAUUAAAACAUUGCAUUCUUUUACACUUUUGGUUUAAUAUAUCUUUGAAAGCAAAAAAAAAAAACCCAGACCAAGAGCUUGAUAUAAAUUCUCUGUUUAAUUAUAUUUAGCUAAAUAUUAUAAUUAAUUUCACAGACAAUGAAACUCGUUAGAUUUCAGUCUGUGUCCAGCCAGAACAAAGCACUUCAUGUGUAGAGACAAUGACCUGUGAAUAGCUCUGCAGUGUUUUUAUUGAAUUACUGCACCAUACAGUCCUUCCCCACCACCUCUUUCUGAAUGUCCUUUGGUUCUGACUCAUACAAAAUCUGCUGGCCAAGUUUAUUACAAUGGCAUUGUCAAAAUUUAUCAUUGCAGUAUCUCUAUUUACUUUCAGUUCAUAAAACCAUUUAAUAAAAUGCACAAUGAUUCAUGAAAGUGAGGUGAAUUGUUUCUGACGUAAAGGCAUCUUUAGGUUUUUCAUUUGCUUGCAAAGUUACUGCAUUUCACGUUUCUUCAGCUUGUGAACUUGCCAACAUCAGUGUUGUGCUUUUAUGCCAACAUCUGGCUUUUGUCUUUUAGGUGUAUGUACUGUAUAAAACUUUGUUGGCAAAAAUUCAUAAGUACUUCACAUUUUUCAACAAUCUAUGUUGCCUUAAUGUAUUGCAACAUGAUUUCCUAUGUGAAUUUAAACAAUUUGCUGAUCAGUUCAAUUCAAUUUUGAAUAAAUCUAAUUUAUAACAUAUCUUUUGAAGACGUUUAGCUAGGCAUUGUCUGACACUGAAGCUUGUGACACUGAAUUCCACACUGAAGCUUGUGUUCAAUUUAUACAGGUGAUUGUGUUUACAGCGACCUCUGCUGGCCAGUGUUAAAGCACGCUUGGAGAUGCCUAAUGAAAACACACAGAUGCUCUCCUAGCCACUAGAUCUGAAUCACAGUGCCCAAUUUUCGAGUAUUGGGGAUUAAGUUUUUUUUCUCUCUCUCUCUCUGCCAACAUCUGGCAUUGUUCUGUACCUCAUUACUUUGAAUAAAACAAUGAUUCAUACCAAUAAACAAGGCUUGUUACUGGUGGGGGUUUAAAGCACAGAUUAUUCGCUCUCCAUAAAUCAGUCCCUUCUAGGGCAUAUCUCUGACUAAUCCCUUUUGGGAGUAAAAGAUUUUAGCAAUAAAAAGUGCAACAGAUGCAACACAUAAUGGCCACUGCACAGAAUGAUACCAUUUUCGGUUAUCACAUAAUUUCAAGUCAGUAGGCCUGUAUUUCAGUCAAUACAACAUUUUUUUUGUGUCAUUUCAGAAUGAAUGGGAAGGCUGCGGUUAUUGGAGGCCGUUGUCAGUCAGAUGUUGUCCUGGUCCAAGUGGACCCAUUGACCUCUGCAUAUUUUUCACUCACUGAGGUCACUGACUUGGCCCUGGGGAAAUAUUUUCCUCUCAUUCUCCUCUCACACUGGGAAACAGAGUACCCAAGUACCCACCCCCCGCCCCCCACUUCUAGAACAAUCCGAGUCCCUCCCAGUCAAGCACCUCCUCCCCACACACAUAACAGACAUCACCCAUCCAAAUGACUGUGGAAUGACGCAUGCCCCAGACAAUAGGAGGAUAUUGAGGCAAACGUGUGUCUAAAUGGGAAAGCCCUUGAGCCUUGACAGGGGCCAACCUCAUAUUGUUGGCAGUGGAUCACAUUUGAUUGGCCUUUAUGAAAACAUCACACUUUCCUGUCUUAAAUCAUACGUUCAACAUGUUUGAUGGAUUUUACAUGCAUGUCGAGUUGCUUCAG